GAGAGGACUAUGAUGAGUUUUAUUUAAAAAUUGAUUUCUAAAUGUGGAAUCAGAAUAAAGUAAUACAUGUAUAAUAUAAGCAUAUAUCAUUGUUUCUAAAUUAUCAUGUUAAAUUUCAGAAAUAUGUAUUAGAUCUCCUAAAAAGUUGAUAUCAUCAGGAAGAAACUCAAUAUUUCCCAGGAAAAGGAUAAAAUGUUCUAUUCCCACACUGAAAUUUUUUCUUAAACUUGAUUUCAGGUUUUAUUUUGACACAUGUGUUUGUAUAUUCAUUUUUUCAAAAUCGAGGAUUACUUGCAUAUAUCAUCUGAUUCAUAGGUUGGACAGAAGUUUCACAAUUUUUUACACAGAAAUCAGAAAUUUUUGCACAUCAACAAACUUGAUUGGAGACUUUUUUUAGGUUGUAGAUGAGCACAAUACCUUUAUUUUUAUGUGGUGCUGAGAAUUGAACACCGGGCCUCACAGGUGCUAGGCAAGUGCUCUAUCACUGAGCCACAACCACAGCCCUGCAGGCCUAAAUCUUACAAGAAAGAGAAUCCUGGCCUUUACAACAAAAAGAAGCUCAAAGAACAAUGAGUGCUCUUGAAAUUGUGCUGAUUUCUUAAAAUAAUCUCUUCAUGAUUAAGAGAGAGACCUGUUUGUUACAAUUAAGGUGGGAGUCUUUGGGGAACUACAGCAUUACCCCCUUUGAUGUUCAUUAUUUAAUCCUCUAAGUCAAAGGGCAUUAUUUUUUCUUGGCUUAAAGAUUUAUAUAAUGUAAUAUCAUAGUUGUUUCUCUUUUUAAAAAAAAAAAAACCUGCAUUUAUUGUAGAACCACUAGUUUUAAUGUAAAGAGGAAACAAACAUGGAAGCAAUAAACAAGUUCAUAGCAUAAUCCAUGCUAUGUCAAUUAAACUUUUGAAUCCACCAAGAAAAGGAAACCAUCCUCCAAAUAGUGAGCUUGGAUCUCAGCUGCAAUGCCCUUUCAGGUUUGAACUGGUACAUUUGUUUGUUUUCUGAUAUUAUUA
rnacentral:lncRNA from 1 species